GGGCACUUAGCUGUAUAACGCACUAAGCAAAGGCUUUUUCCAGGUAAAUUUGGUGCCUCGUAUGCAAGGGAGGACCUUGACAGCUGCUACCACCUGCCUGCCCAAUGUCAUGCCCUGGCCGCAAUCUGCACCUUGGCCCUUCUCCAUUUCUGUGUCCAAUGAUAGCCACCUGGACCUGGGCUGGAUGAACAGGACAGACCUUCCUCCUUCACCUGUGGCUAGUCCUCCACAGCCUAUGUUUGCAGCUUUUCAUUUUAGAAAACAAACUUCUGGCUUUCUGUCAUCUUGUCCCACAAGAAGAACCUAGACCCACUGAACUAGAACACCUGGAUUACAAGUAUCUCCAUCUAUUAGAUGUGAAAUAAAAACACCGGGUUUGAUUUCCCAUGGAACCCGUAGGAAUGGCUACGAAGUGCUCAGUGCUGUCCAUUUGUGUGAAUGACUACAGCAGACGCUGAUGAAUGUUUCGCUUCAGUCCAAUUUGAUCAUCUGGCCAGAGGUUUGUUUCAGCAUCUGCUACCAAAGAUUAACUCUAACUGCCAUGUCGUCAUCAUCUUCUGAUCUGUGAGCUGCCAUGAACCAGGGAGCGUGAUCCAGCCCAUCCACCAGCCUUCACACAGGACCACACUCAGCACUUGCUGCAGGGACAAGACUGUGAGAUCCUUUUCUCCAAAGAACUAUAGGGAGCCCUUCCUAUAACCAGCAAAUAAAUGACCACGCACCAA